rnacentral:tRNA from 1 species
GUCAGAUUGGCCGAGCGGGUCUAAGGCGCCAGAUUUAAGCUCUGGUUCCCGUAAGGGAGCGUGGGUUCGAACCCCACAUCUGACA